rnacentral:rRNA from 1 species
CGCUGGCGGCAUGCCUAACACAUGCAAGUCGAACGUGAUCCAUGACUUCGGUUGUGGUGAAAGUGGCAGACGGGUGAGUAACGCGUGGGAACCUGCCCAAUGGUAGGGAAUAACCGCGGGAAACUGCGGCUAAUACCCUAUGACCCCUUUGGGGGAAAGAUUUAUCGCCAUUGGAGGGGCCCGCGUCGGAUUAGGUAGUUGGUAGGGUAACGGCCUACCAAGCCAUCGAUCCGUAGCUGGUCUGAGAGGAUGAUCAGCCACACUGGGACUGAGAUACGGCCCAGACUCCUACGGGAGGCAGCAGUGGGGAAUAUUGGACAAUGGGGGCAACCCUGAUCCAGCAAUGCCGCGUGAGUGAUGAAAGCCUUCGGGUUGUAAAGCUCUUUCGGCGGGGAAGAUNAUGACGGUACCCGCAGAAGAAGCCCCGGCUAACUUCGUGCCAGCAGCCGCGGU